rnacentral:rRNA from 1 species
GGGUGCAAGCGUUACUCGGAAUUACUGGGCGUAAAGCGUGCGUAGGUGGUUUGUUAAGUCUGAUGUGAAAGCCCUGGGCUCAACCUGGGAAUUGCACUGGAUACUGGCAGGCUAGAGUGCGGUAGAGGAUGGCGGAAUUCCCGGUGUAGCAGUGAAAUGCGUAGAGAUCGGGAGGAACAUCUGUGGCGAAGGCGGCCAUCUGGACCAGCACUGACACUGAGGCACGAAAGCGUGGGGAGCAA